rnacentral:rRNA from 1 species
UACGAAGGGGGGCUAGCGUUGCUCGGAAUCACUGGGCGUAAAGGGUGCGUAGGCGGGUCUUUUAAGUCAGGGGUGAAAUCCUGGAGCUCAACUCCAGAACUGCCUUUGAUACUGAGGAUCUUGAGUUCGGGAGAGGUGAGUGGAACUGCGAGUGUAGAGGUGAAAUUCGUAGAUAUUCGCAAGAACACCAGUGGCGAAGGCGGCUCACUGGCCCGAUACUGACGCUGAGGCACGAAAGCGUGGGGAGCAAACAGG